AGAGGGUUUUCUGCCAUCAGAUCCCUCACCACGACAGACUCGAGGUUUCUGCCAUCAGAUCCCUCACUACGGACCGUAUGCUGACGAACUUCCCUGGCCCUGCUACCUGAGACCUGCUGCUUCCUCCUGGGCUUACUCUGCGGCUUCUUCCUGGACCCACCCGGUACCUGCACCCUCUCUUUGUCCAAGACCGGCCUCGCUGCUCCUGCCCUUUGGCCUCGGACCAUCGGAACGUCGUGCAACAGACUACUGCCGGAUCCUGGUGGGCUGCGAGACAGGAAAAGUUUGUGCUUUUUUGACAUGUAUUAAAAGCCUGACUUCAAGUUCAACAAAUUCUUUCCUCAAUCCUCUCACAAGUGGGUGAUGACAUGGUCUAAUACUCCAGAUUUUUUACUAAGAUAAUUAGACUCUGAUCCUGGAAGUUAUUCCUUGUGGCUGCUGCUCUGUGAGUCCUCCGGCUCCUCCCACUGUUUCAUUCUAGAAUCUGUUCCUGCUCCCUUGUUUCAGCUGCAAUGGAUCCAGGCCUGAGAAAAUUCUGAUGCUGCGAUGUUCUCAUAGGAGAUAGAUUCUGUAUCCAUUUCAGAUCCUCUGACAGUCCCCAGCAUGCGGCUGGAAGGUUUGCCCAUGCUCAUGCUCAGAUCUGGAGAGAGCUAACUGGCUCACCAGAGACGGAUUCUCAGACUCAAAGAACAGGGGAGAUGGGACUGGGUCCAGUUGGAAGUCUUCUUUAAUGCCUAGCAAAAAACUGCUGCUGCAAACAAGGCAGUUCUGGUUGAAAAUUGCCACACUGGUUAGUUGUAUUUCUUUCCUAAUCCCUUUGCACUUAUUUAGCUGGGCUGGCUGCAGAAAAAAAAUCUUAGUAGCUGCAGGACCCAUACAGGAGGGCUAAGUUUUUAGCGAGUAUUUACAAAGAUACUAUAGGUGAAGAGCUGCUUUCUAUGUGAUUUUGGGGGCUAUUUUCUUCCAGAGUGAAAUCUGUCAAUCUGCUCAUUUGUGUUUUUAAGCACUUUCCAAGCAUCUGCAGCGGAAGCAAAUGGGAUACCAUAACCUCAAGUAACCAAAGAUCGGUAACCUCACUCUAGCUGAACAAAGGUAUGGUGCCAUGCGAUCUGCUGAUGCCAUCUGAACAAAGCAGAUCAGCUCCUGCUCUCCCAAAAAAACUCAUUGCAAAUAAGAUGCAGACAAAGAAUUGCUUAGUGAAUAACUGUGAAUAGUAAAUACAAGAGAUUUUGAGUCAAUGAGUGGGAAAUGCCUGCAAAGACAAAGUAGCUACCUUUAUUAACCAAAGGUUUUGCAAAUAUACCUUCCUUGGUUCCUAUUUCUGUCUGAUGCCACAUUCAGCUGUCUGAACUGCUGAUGUCAGUGAGAACUGUGGCUUUCUAGCCCUUUGCAAAAAUCCAUGGGGUAUAAUUUGCCUAUUCAGCUUGAUAUAGUAGUGUCUUAGACAAUAUAUAGACAACUGGUCGUGGUAAGUGAUGAAUAUAAGCAAGAAGAAUUUUGGGCUGCAGGUUCAAUAUAAUUAAUGAAGUGUUACUAAAGCAUUUUAAGAGAAACUGGUUCCUGCAUUUACAAUGUGCUGUAAUGAUUUACUUAGAAGUCUCCCUUUAGACUCAGUAUACAAGUUACAAAUGAUGCAAAAUGUUGCUGAUCAGAGAUAUUGACAAUCGCUCAUUGGUAUUGACGUACACAAGAGUCUACACUGGUUGCCAGUGCAAUUAUGAACUGACUUUAAAGACUUGCUUUUGGCCAAAGGCUGAAAGACGACCUUAUUUCUCAUCUUAUUUCAAAGUAUCUUCUGACUUAUUCUUCAGCUGUUUCCUCUGUCAGAUCAAAAUAAUAAUAAUAAAGAAACAGGAAGUUUUAUGUGUUCUUUAUCUUCCAUCUGUCUAUUCAGGACUGUUAAUGCAGGUGGAACAGAUGGUGAUUACUUCUAAGAUAUAUUUCCAGUAUUAGCCCAGUAAAACUUUUCCUUUCAAUAAGAUAUCUGGAAAUUGUCUCAGAUUUAGAAUUUGAAAAUGUUCUUCAAAAGAGCCUCAGUGAUUGAAGAAAAAAAUCUCACAGGCUCUUCCACUGAACACAGGGGUUCUGAUUGAGCCAGCUGGAUUUCUAGUCAAGUCCUUCUGUCUCUUGUUUCUUUUCACUAGGAUUAUCUGAAAAUAUCAUGGAAAGCUUGGAAAUAAGUUAGAAAGAGGUACUAUCUUUGAAAAGUUUAUGAAGCAAACUUGAAUAGAAACCAACUCUUUCCUUGGAGAAGAUCCACUUACUUGAGCCAAGAUUAAGGAUAAAAUUUGACUGUGGGUCAGAGAACUAUAGUGGAAAUGGCUCUGAAAUGUACUAAGAUUGAAUGAAGGUUAGUUAAAAUAUUUUAGUCCAAAUACAGCUUUGUCCCAUUUGUUCUUUCUUAAGGUGAACUUCUUCCUGAAGUUUUGCCACUGAGAUUUAUUUCCUUUCUUUUUGUAUAAGAAUCAUGAGGGGAUGACCAUCAAUUGAGGUGGGCUAUUUGUGACACAGACUGAAGGAAAGGAAUCACUUCUUGAGAAUAUGUGACAUGCAGUGCUUCUGCUUCAGAAAGUCUGUUGCUCAUAAUGGAAAUGUUAAGUUUAUUCCCCACUUUAGCUAUAAGUUUCUGCAGGAAAAAAAUACUACAUGCAAUAAGUUAUUAUAACACCUAUGGACUAGCACCAAUAAACAAAUCUUUGCCUCCUUGUGCUUGAAACAGCUGCUGGUAAUUACUCUCGUCCUGUGGAAACAGAAGCACAUCUGGUAUCUUCAUAACAGCCCUGAUAAAAAAGGAUAGGAGGUAAAGCAUCUGUCCCAGGUGUACACAACUGCAUCAUUCCUCCACCGCUGCUCCACUUGAGUACCAUAUCUCUUGAAACUAGUGGGACAAGAUGCUGAUUGAGAGGAAAAUAAAGAGGGGAAUUUUUCAUCCUUUAUGUUCUCUCUUCCUAGCUAUAUUCUCAGAUCCCUAUGCACACGGAACUCACUGUUCUAUGCUCCACAUGGUUAUGUUGAAAAGAGCUUUAGAUGGCCUAAAUUCUUGUGCUUAUGACCUUUGAUGAAAAUUUCCCUAUGUAAAGAAUCAUAGAAUAAUAGAAUUAUAGAAUGGCUUGGGUUGGAAGGGGCCCCAGUGAUCACCAAGUUCCAAACCCCGCUGCCACAGGCAGGGCCACCAACCUCCAGAUCUGAUACUAGACCAGGUUGUCCCCUCCAAUCUGGUCUUGAACACCUCUAGGGAUAGAGAAUCCACAGCCUCUCUGGGCAGCCUGUUCCUGCACCUCACCACUCUCUCUUAAGGGUUUCCCCUUGACAUCCAAUCUAAGCAUUCCUUCACUUACCAUCUCUCACUUAUCAUUCACUCUAAAUACUUAUUACAUUUAGAAAUAAUGUAAUUGAGAAGUUUACUUCCACUCUGAAACUUCCUCAUUUCAAUGCUUUUCACUGGCAAAACACAAACACCAAAUCAGAAAGUAAAACUCUGCAGUUAAUGGGUCACUUUCAAAGAAUGGUAAGAUUAAAACCAAACCAACCAACCAAUCAAAAAAACCCCACCAAAACCAAAAUACUAAAAUGCAAAAUCUAUGGAGAUCUUAUCUGUGUUGCUUCAUAUUUUCUAGUUUUAUUUGGUAGGAUUAAAGCUUGGAACAUAUGGAAUGUAUGAAAAUAAAAGAUGAUAUUUUCACAUAUUGCCUCAUUUCUUAAUGCUGUGGUUCAUUAAAAAAAAAAAAAACAACAAAUAUUAUUAGUAUUGACAACAUUAUGUUUGUGUUCUGUAGUGUACAGUAGAGCAUGAUUUUCUUGAACUGGUUUGUCUUUGUACAUUACUGAAAUAAAAUUAAGAU
ensembl:lncRNA